rnacentral:rRNA from 1 species
UUUGUCGCGUUGUUCGUGAAAUCUCACGGCUUAACUGUGAGCGUGCGGGCGAUACGGGCAGACUUGAGUACUGCAGGGGAGACUGGAAUUCCUGGUGUAGCGGUGGAAUGCGCAGAUAUCAGGAGGAACACCGGUGGCGAAGGCGGGUCUCUGGGCAGUAACUGACGCUGAGGAGCGAAAGCGUGGGGAGCGAACAGGAUUAGAUACCCUGGUAGUCCACGCCGUAAACGGUGGGUACUAGGUGUGGGUUUCCUUCCUUGGGAUCCGUGCCGUAGCUAACGCAUUAAGUACCCCGCCUGGGGAGUACGGCCGCAAGGCUAAAACUCAAAGAAAUUGACGGGGGCCCGCACAAGCGGCGGAGCAUGUGGAUUAAUUCGAUGCAACGCGAAGAACCUUACCUGGGUUUGACAUGCACAGGACGCCGGCAGAGAUGUCGGUUCCCUUGUGGCCUGUGUGCAGGUGGUGCAUGGCUGUCGUCAGCUCAUGUCGUGAGAUGUUGGGUUAAGUCCCGCAACGAGCGCAACCCUUGUCUCAUGUUGUCAGCGGGUAAUGCCGGGGACUCGUGAGAGACUGCCGGGGUCAACUCGGAGGAAGGUGGGGAUGACGUCAAGUCAUCAUGCCCCUUAUGUCCAGGGCUUCACACAUGCUACAAUGGCCGGUACAAAGGGCUGCGAUGCCGCGAGGUUAAGCGAAUCCUUUUAAAGCCGGUC